AGAGUUUGAUUCUGGCUCAGGAUGAACGCUGGCGGCGUGCCUAACACAUGCAAGUCGAACGGGGUUAUAACGCUGAGGAGACUUCGGUCAAAUCUUGUUGUAACUUAGUGGCGGACGGGUGAGUAACGCGUGGAUAACCUGCCAUACACAGGGGGAUAACAGUUAGAAAUGACUGCUAAUACCGCAUAAGCGCACGAAGGGGCAUCCUUUAGUGUGAAAAGCGAAUACGGUGUAUGAUGGGUCCGCGUCCGAUUAGCCAGUUGGCGGGGUAAGAGCCCACCAAAGCGACGAUCGGUAGCCGGCCUGAGAGGGUGAACGGCCACAUUGGGACUGAGACACGGCCCAGACUCCUACGGGAGGCAGCAGUGGGGAAUAUUGGGCAAUGGGCGAAAGCCCUGACCCAGCAACGCCGCGUGAAGGAUGAAGGUCUUCGGAUUGUAAACUUCUUUGAUUGGGGAAGAAUAAAAUGACCUACCCAAAGAACAAGCCACGGCUAACUACGUGCCAGCCGCCGC
rnacentral:rRNA from 1 species